AUAUUUAGGUCCCUUCCGUCUUCCUCCUUGGCUCCCCCACCCUCUCCUCUCUUGAAAAAAACCCUAGAAAUUCAACAGUCCUCCAUGAUGGCCAAUAUAUCUCUCAGUAUGGGAAUCAAAGUCAGAAUUCAAGCCAUAAUAUAAUUCCAAUCAAAGCAUUCAGCUUCCUCCCUUUCAAUUGCCGCUAGUUGAAACUUCUCAAAUUCAAAGCACCGAGCCUUUGUGGUUUAGCAUUAAACCUCCUUCUUCCUCUCUGAAAAACCCUAGAAAUUCAGCAGUCCUUCAUUGAAGAAUUAAAGUUCUCAUCGCACCAUUUUAUUCAACCACAAUAACGUCGUCGAUAGGUAUGUACAUACUUGAGCAAUUUUUUAUCACUUGGGUUUUAGUGUUCUAAUACUCAUAUUUUAUGAUAAGUUGAUAACUAAAAACAAAACAAAAGUUCUGCAUAAAUUGCUCCAGCAAUCCCGACACAAGUCUUGUGAUCAUCACAAAAACAAAAAACUCCCUUGUGAAAGAACAAUCAGUGAUUCAUAUACAAAUAGACAUGAAUAUAUGCAGAUAGAUUCUGAUGCAUAAGCUUAUUCAUAAUGACAUAAAUACUCCUAAAUCUUUUUGUAUAAAUCUCGAUGACUUGAUAAACGGAGUAGUUGGAAAAUUGCAUAGUUUAGUGAUUGGAUUUCAGUAAAAACUCACCAAAUGACUCUUUCCAUCACAUUAUGAUGUAGAUCAAGUUUUAGGGUUUAGUGUUAGAGUUUCGGUAAUGCAAGUUUGUUUUGAUUUGAAUAAGCUCCUAUUUUUCAGGAGCUAGUAGUUCAUUUAAGUUAGGAGUUGAUCAGGUCAAGUAUGACCGAGUUGUUUGCUUAGUUGCCACGGUCUUCGGGAUGUGGAGACGUGGUUUGUUUUAAUUUGUUUUUUCAGUUGUAAUGGCUAUUUAAGCCAAAUAUGUUCUGUUAAUAAUUAGUGGAUUAUUUCACGAUCUUUACAGCUUCUUAGAGCUAGGUCUUUGAUACUCCAACAAUUGGUAUC
rnacentral:lncRNA from 1 species